rnacentral:rRNA from 1 species
UGAGGAAUAUUGGUCAAUGGGCGCAAGCCUGAACCAGCCAUCCCGCGUGCAGGAAGACGGCCCUAUGGGUUGUAAACUGCUUUUCCAGGGGGAGAAUUUUUCUGUCGUGACAGGAAUUGACGGUACCCUGGGAAUAAGCAUCGGCUAACUCCGUGCCAGCAGCCGCGGUAAUACGGAGGAUGCGAGCGUUAUCCGGAUUUAUUGGGUUUAAAGGGUGCGUAGGCGGAUAGAUAAGUCAGUGGUGAAAACCUGCAGCUUAACUGUAGACUUGCCGUUGAUACUGUCAGUCUUGAGUAUGGUCAAGGUAGGCGGAAUGUGUAAUGUAGCGGUGAAAUGCUUAGAUAUUACACAGAACACCGAUUGCGAAGGCAGCUUACUGGGCCAUUACUGACGCUGAUGCACGAAAGCGUGGGGAUCGAACAGG